rnacentral:ncRNA from 1 species
GUCAGCUUGCCCUGGCCUGUGGGUCAUCCACGGUAAGAGUGCCCAUAGGGCACCGCCCACAGGGAAAGCUACAGGGCAAGCAAGGAGGA